rnacentral:rRNA from 1 species
AAUCAACGCUGGCGGCGUGCCUAACACAUGCAAGUCGAACGCGAAAGUCCCGCAAGGGAUGAGUAGAGUGGCAAACGGGUGAGUAACGCGUGGGUGACCUGCCUUCGAGCGGGGGAUAACGUCCCGAAAGGGACGCUAAUACCGCAUAACAUCCCGCUUUUCAACAAGUGGAGAUCAAAGCUGGGGAUCGCAAGACCUAGCACUCGAAGAGGGGCCCGCGUCUGAUUAGCAGUUGGUGAGGUAACGGCUCACCAAGGCGACGAUCAGUAUCCGGCCUGAGAGGGCGGACGGACACACUGGGACUGAGACACGGCCCAGACUCCUACGGGAGGCAGCAGUGGGAAUUGUUCGCAAUGGGCGCAAGCCUGACGACGCAACGCCGCGUGGAGGAUGAAGGUCUUCGGAUUGUAAACUCCUGUUGCUCGGGACGAAAUGCUCCAGCCUAACACGUUGGGAGUUUGACGGUACCGGGUGAGGAAGCCCCGGCUAACUCUGUGCC